rnacentral:piRNA from 1 species
UACAACUUCUUGGUCGGGCAGCUCUGUGG